rnacentral:rRNA from 1 species
AAACUAACAGAUUUACUUCGGUAAUGACGUUAGGAAAGCGAGCGGCGGAUGGGUGAGUAACACGUGGGGAACCUGCCCCAUAGUCUGGGAUACCACUUGGAAACAGGUGCUAAUACCGGAUAAGAAAGCAGAUCGCAUGAUCAGCUUUUAAAAGGCGGCGUAAGCUGUCGCUAUGGGAUGGCCCCGCGGUGCAUUAGCUAGUUGGUAAGGUAAAGGCUUACCAAGGCGAUGAUGCAUAGCCGAGUUGAGAGACUGAUCGGCCACAUUGGGACUGAGACACGGCCCAAACUCCUACGGGAGGCAGCAGUAGGGAAUCUUCCACAAUGGACGCAAGUCUGAUGGAGCAACGCCGCGUGAGUGAAGAAGGUUUUCGGAUCGUAAAGCUCUGUUGUUGGUGGA